AUUCUGAUUUUCUUUCCCGGUCUCAAAUUUGACUUUUUGAUGUUGGAAGUCCUGCAUGUUCCCUGAUACAGAAAUAACAGGUCAUGGUUAAGAAAAAUAGCAUGGCUUAAGAUCAGGCUUUGGAGCUGAAAAAUGCAAAGGUCUGACAAUCUUACAGAACAUUUCUUCCUGCCACCCUCAGCAGUGAAGCUACUCAAUAGAAGGGGAUAAAGUAAAAAUCUAGAGAGAAAAGAUGGAGCCAUAAGGGAGCUCCUGUCACCCCAUCCAGUGCAUCUGCAUUGCCUGUAGCAAAAAUAAUUUCUGUUUUGAAUUCCUUUCAGUGUUACAUUUUUUCUGGAGAAUGGGCCAGAUUUUAUUCUGUUCCAUCCAUGUGACUCCAGAGAACAACUGUGACUUUGACAAAGGUUCUGCCAUUUUAACACCCCAUGCCGCUACCCCAACAUGUUGAGUGCCUUUGAAAAUGUGGCAACAAUUGUCACAAUGACAGAUUCUGGGUGUUUGAGCUCUAUUGAAAUCUGGCUCUUCUUUAGGUGCCUAGAUGAGAGUUGGAAAUCUUGUCCCAGUUGUGCGUGCCACUUGAAACUCCCGCUCUGAGAUCUUUUGAAAAUCCAGCCCUAAGACCCAGGAGAAGGAAAACAAGACCCGUACUUUGAAGACAUUCCUUCGAGCUCAGACCCAAAGAGACCUGGAUAUUUUGGAAGAAGGAAUUUCAGCUUCUCAGAUUAGAAGCAGAUAACCCAAGAUGACCAAGAGCAGCCAAGAUUCAGGCACAAGGAGGUGAUGUUGACAUUGGUGGC